rnacentral:rRNA from 1 species
UAACACGUGGGUAACCUGCCCUAAAGUCUGGGAUACCACUUGGAAACAAGUGCUAAUACCGGAUAACAACAAUAGCUGCAUGGCUAUUGCUUAAAAGGCGGCGAAAGCUGUCGCUAAAGGAUGGACCCGCGGUGCAUUAGCUAGUUGGUAAGGUAAUGGCUUACCAAGGCGACGAUGCAUAGCCGAGUUGAGAGACUGAUCGGCCACAUUGGGACUGAGACACGGCCCAAACUCCUACGGAAGGCAGCAG